rnacentral:ncRNA from 2 species
CCGGCGAUUUACUUUGCCGGUGAUUUUGGGAAGCCCGUCGCACGGGCAGGAAAUUGAUGGGGAAUCCGGUGAAGUCGAUUCUGACGUAUUCCGGAGCGGUCCCGCCACUGUAAGUUUAUUUCCUUAGGGAAUUGAGCGAGCCAGAUCGCCAGCCUGAAGUCUUUUGACAAC